rnacentral:rRNA from 1 species
AUGCGAAGGAGGUCGAGGAGGGCCGAGGUGAAGCACUGGCGUUCUCCUCUGCUCGAAACAGAGCAAGCAGCGACCGAAAAACAAGCUUCAAGCGUCGGGGAGGAGCAGGCAGGGCACCGGCAGGCACGGGACACGGCGGGUCGACGUGGUUCACCGGGACGACGGCAGCAGGCAGCAGACUUGACGCGGAGGCUGAAGAUGGCGGGGUUGAGGAGGAGCGGAGGCGGCCUGCUCCGGGCGGUGGCUUGUGAGGACUAG